rnacentral:rRNA from 1 species
AGUGAACGCUGGCGGCAGGCCUAACACAUGCAAGUCGAACGGCAGCACGGCAGUAGCAAUACUGUGGGUGGCGAGUGGCGGACGGGUGAGGAAUACAUCGGGAUCUACCCUGUUGUGGGGGAUAACGUAGGGAAACUUACGCUAAUACCGCAUAAGAACUGAGGUUGAAAGCGGCGGACCGCAAGGCGUCGCGCGAUUGGAUGAACCGAUGUCCGAUUAGCUAGUUGGCGGGGUAAAGGCCCACCAAGGCGACGAUCGGUAGCUGGUCUGAGAGGACGACCAGCCACACUGGAACUGAGACACGGUCCAGACUCCUACGGGAGGCAGCAGUGGGGAAUAUUGGACAAUGGGCGCAAGCCUGAUCCAGCCAUGCCGCGUGGGUGAAGAAGGGCCUUCGGGUUGUAACCGCUUAGUCCGGAAAAGGGUAGGCGGAGGAGUAAUACCCUCGUGCUUUGAUGGUACUGGAAGAAGUAAGCACGGCUAACUACGUGCCAGCAGCCGCGGUAA